UACGUAGGGGGCAAGCGUUGUCCGGAAUUAUUGGGCGUAAAGAGCGUGUAGGCGGUCCGGUAAGUCAGCUGUGAAAGUCCAGGGCUCAACCCUUGAAUGCCGGUUGAUACUGUCGGGCUAGAGUCCGGAAGAGGCGAGUGGAAUUCCCGGUGUAGCGGUGAAAUGCGCAGAUAUCGGGAGGAACACCAAUGGCGAAGGCAGCUCGCUGGGACGGUACUGACGCUGAGACGCGAAAGCGUGGGGAGCGAACAGG
rnacentral:rRNA from 1 species